GACGACUCCAUUACCACGCCCCUCCUGAUUUCUCUAGAUCUGGCCUCUCCGGCCUUCCCAUCUCGAUUCCACCCAUCUCAAUUUCUCUUGACACGACGCCCUUUGAGUUAGAACAAUGGACGACGACUAGAUCAAGGUAUGCCAUCCCUCUCAUAUUUUCUCCCAUAUAUCCUCGCUCUCUCCCUCUCCCCCUUCACUUUCUCACAAACGGGCGCACGCCGAUGACGCCUUCAGUGCAGGGCGGCGACGCAGAAUAGACGACUAUGCUAAGAACACUUUCAGUAAAGCUAAUAUGUUGUGUAAUUGAGCUAUUUUUGGCAAUCUCAAAAUUAUGUGUAUGAACACGAUAUAAUUAGUUGAUUUAGAAAUUGAUCUGAAAUAAUGAGUUUACCAAGUUCAUGUCGGUUGUUUGUUUUGUAG
rnacentral:lncRNA from 1 species